rnacentral:lncRNA from 1 species
UCUUCAUGUUGGGAUUCCUCACUCUGAGUGAAUCAGAUAGUUGAAAUGAUAUUUUUGCUGGCAUGUAAAGUUUGUGUUUCUCUUUUUUAGGACUGUUGCCCAGUUUGACAGCUUGAAAGCUUUCACUCGAAUGGAUCAAUCACACUUCUAUCUGAAACCCCUGGCUUCUCUGUUUGCUUGUCCUGCGCAAUCUCUGGUUCUUCACAAGGCCGAGAUCAGAGAAGAAGGAAACAGUGGUGCUACAAUUUUGUCUCUGAAUUCAAGUCAGCCUGGGGGAUUCCUUUGAGUAUGUGCAGCAAAGCCUUGAAGAGAGCCUGACUAUCGAUUCAAGAUGUCAUCAAGAAACUAACACACAACACCGCGCUACUCCAGCACUUGAGAACCAUUCCUCAGUAGGCAGCUAAUUCAACACUGCUGUGGCUGUCUUAACUCUUCUGCUGCACAAUCUCUUUUUGAUUCAUCACAAUGUGAAGCUUAGCUUAUGCAGCUUGCUGAAUGCAUUCGUAAUCUUCUUGUCUAAUUAAAGGCUUGGAUAUAUUAGAGUCUUCAUGAAUCUUCAUGAAAGAAUACGCUUUUGUGUCCUGUUGUCAAACUGGUAAAUUUCUGUUGCCAGAAUGGUUUGCUUUUGCAAAGGGAAACAGCUGUUAUGAUGGAGACAGCGGUGGCGCAUUGAUUGCACAAUACGUGUCUCAACUCAACUCAGCCUUUUCGCUGUUCCUACAUCUCUCUGAAUCUUCCUGUAUUUCACUUCAGCUUCUCCGGUUCUGAAGAAAAGCAAAGUUGGACGACAAGGCAGUGCUUUUGUGUGUUGAAGAAUCCCUCCCAGCUUUUUAUGGUAGUGGGACGGCCACAUGCUGACUGGAUGUGAAGGAGUCCGAAGGAGACCGGUGCAGCUCCUUAUGUAGAUCAGGGGAGAAUGAAACAGUGGUGCCAUUACUUUGUCUUCAAAUUCAAGUCAUCCUGAAGGAUUUCUUUGAGCAAGUGCAGCAAGGCCCUGAAGAGUGCCUGGCCAUUGAUUCCUGAAGAACUUUUCACAUGAGACCAGCACUACUUCAGCAGUAAUAUGCUGAUGUGAUGGAUUACGAGAAUGGUUUCAGACUUUGGAGUUGGGAGGGCUGCUGAGUGUGUUUGUCAACUUUUGGUGAGUCUGUUCCUUGUUGAGUCUGUGACUGAAUGUACGUGGUGCUACAUAUGUACACAAUUGU